ACGCUCGACACCUACGGGAGCAGCAGUGGGGAAUAUUGCACAAUGGGGGAAACCCUGAUGCAGCGACGCCGCGUGAGCGAAGAAGUAUUUCGGUAUGUAAAGCUCUAUCAGCAGGGAAGAAACUGACGGUACCUGACUAAGAAGCACCGGCUAAAUACGUGCCAACAGCCGUGGUAAUCUGAGCGGGCUGGCAAGGC
rnacentral:rRNA from 1 species